rnacentral:lncRNA from 1 species
GCAGAAGCAGGUCUGGCUCUUAGGCAAAACUGUGGAGCAAGCAGCUCUCAGCGACCCACCUCAUUUGGAGCUCCACUCCUACCAGCACCCUAUAGACCAAGCCCUGCCCUCUACAGUAUCACCCAGUUGGGCCCUAAAUUGCAUUCCAAAGACCCUGCUCCUGGAACAGCCUUCUGCAAUCAACACAACCUCUUGGAGGUUUUACUGCGUCUGGCACUCGCAGGUUCCCCUGCUCUCACUCUCUCUCUCUCUGUUUCCUUGCUGUGAAAAACGUGUUGACCAUCAGGCAUAUGGCAGAAUAAUUGGAUUUCAGGCAAGCCAAUGUGAGAAACCAGAAGGCAAAUCUGGUCAUUUGUGGGUAUACACAGGACAAAGAAAAAGGAGUGUAGAGAAACAGAGGCUGUCCUGGAGGUAAGCUGAGGCUGAAAGUAGUUUACUCGAUAAAGCCCUGUUGCUGUAAGACAAAGAAAACUUUGACUAUGUUGCAGCACUCUCGUAUCCAAAAAAGUGGAGUUAGGAGAAGGAAAGAAAGAAGGGAUGAAGGAAGGAAGGAGGGAGGGAGGGAAGGAAGGAGUGAAGGAGGGAAGGAGGGGGGAGGAAGGGAGGUGGGGAGGAAGGUGACAGGGAGAAAGAAAGGGAUGGAGUAAAGAAGGGGAAAUGGAAUGAGCAUUUAUUGAAUACCCACUAUAUAUAACUUUGCUAUUUGUUAUGUCAUUUAAUCCUCACCAUAGUCUGUAAGGUAGGUAAUAUAGUCUCCAUUUUUUUCAGAUAAGGAGAGUGAAGUUGAAAGGUUAAGUCAUGUGCCCAAAAUCACAGAGCUGAGAUUGGAACACAUAUCUGCCCGAUCCGAAAGUUCGGAAAAAAAAAGAAAAUGGUUAGGUUCUGGGAAAAUGUGGGGUUUUUUCUCCCCAUCCCCAGAGAUAGAUGUUUUUUAAAAUUUUUUAAAACAUAUUAAGAAAAAUCAUUUGGGGAACAUUGUACCCGGCAUGAUAGAAAACUGAAUUGAGAUAUGGGAUUGUUCUUCCUGAAAUAAAGAUAUCUGGUUCCUAUACUUACUUCAUACUGGUUUUUUUAAAAAGCAGAUAAUAUUUUUUACAUUUAUUUCUUCCACAAAUAAUUGGAAACACUAAGUGAAAGGCACUGUGCUAGUCACCAUUGAAGGUAUAACUGUGAACAAGGCAUGAAAUUUACAGUCUAGUAGAGAAGAAAAGUAAACAUGCAAUUAUGAUAGAGUUUGAUAAAUAUUAUAACAAGUGAAACCUCAGGGAGUUAUGGGAACAAGUUAAUAUUGACAAAGAGAAAUGCCAGAGUUUCAGGUUGAGGCUUAAGGCAUGAGUAAGCAAAGUGAAAACCCCUUUCUUCCACAAAAGAAGUUAGAAGUCAACGUUAAGUUUGGAGGAACUGCAUUCACGCGCACCCUCUCUCUUUCUCUCUCUCUCUCUCUCAAACAAUACUCUAAUUCUAGACAAUAAAAGAAAGACCUCUGCCACCU